UUUAAAUUUAGAUUUAAAUGUAGAUUGGAUAUGGAUUUCUCUCUCAACAAAGAAAAAAAAGGGUAAAAUAACUUCGGGAAAAAUAUCUGUGGGUAAAAAGUUUCUAAGAAUAAAAUGGAAUAUCUUACCAAAUUACUAGAAAAGUAUUAUAGGAAUGAAAAUAGAAAUUUACAAAAAAAGCCCUUCAUACUAAUUUUACAUAUGAGGAAAUAAUUUACCCUUGGUAGGAGGGUGACCGGUACCUAUGGCAACAAAAGCCGGUCACCCUCUUAACUAAAUGACAUCUCCACCAUUUAGUUUAAAAAAAAUUAAAGGCCGAGAUCUUUCUGGUGCAUA
rnacentral:lncRNA from 1 species